UCGAGGGGUACAGGAAAGCUUGCUUUUGCUGACGACCGGCGCACGGGUGCGUAACGCGUAUGCAACCUACCUCAUACAGGAGGAUAGCCCUUGGAAACGAGGAUUAAUACUCCAUGGUAUCACGAAUUCGCAUGUUUUUGUGAUUAAAGUUUUUCGGUAUGAGAUGGGCAUGCGUCCCAUUAGCUUGUUGGUGAGGUAACGGCUCACCAAGGCGACGAUGGGUAGGGGGCCUGAGAGGGUGGUCCCCCACACUGGUACUGAGACACGGACCAGACUCCUACGGGAGGCAGCAGUGAGGAAUAUUGGUCAAUGGAGGCAACUCUGAACCAGCCAUGCCGCGUGAAGGAUGACGGCCCUAUGGGUUGUAAACUUCUUUUAUAUGGGAAGAAACUUGUCUACGUGUAGACAACUGACGGUACCAUACGAAUAAGGAUCGGCUAACUCCGUGCCAGCAGCCGCGGUAAUACGGAGGAUCCAAGCGUUAUCCGGAUUCAUUGGGUUUAAAGGGUCCGUAGGCGGAUUUUUAAGUCAGUGGUGAAAGCCGACAGCUCAACUGUCGAACUGCCAUUGAUACUGGAAAUCUUGAGUACAAAUGAAGUAGGCGGAAUGAGUCAUGUAGCGGUGAAAUGCAUAGAUAUGACUCAGAACACCGAUUGCGAAGGCAGCUUACUAACAUGUAACUGACGCUGAGGGACGAAAGCGUGGGGAGCGAACAGGAUUAGAUACCCUGGUAGUCCACGCCGUAAACGAUCAUCACUCGCUGUUGGCGAUAUACUGUCAGCGGCCAAGCGAAAGUAUUAAGUGAUGCACCUGGGGAGUACGCCGGCAACGGUGAAACUCAAAGGAAUUGACGGGGGCCCGCACAAGCGGUGGAGCAUGUGGUUUAAUUCGAUGAUACGCGAGGAACCUUACCAGGGCUUAAAUGUAGUUUGACCGGUCUGGAAACAGACUUUCUCUUCGGAGCAGAUUACAAGGUGCUGCAUGGUUGUCGUCAGCUCGUGCCGUGAGGUGUUAGGUUAAGUCCUGCAACGAGCGCAACCCCUAUUCUUAGUUGCCAGCGGUUCGGCCGGGGACUCUA
rnacentral:rRNA from 1 species